UGCGUAGGGUGCGAGCGUUGUCCGGAAUUACUGGGCGUAAAGAGCUCGUAGGUGGCUUGUCGCGUUGUUCGUGAAAACUCACAGCUUAACUGUGGGCGUGCGGGCGAUACGGGCAGACUGGAGUACUGCAGGGGAGACUGGAAUUCCUGGUGUAGCGGUGGAAUGCGCAGAUAUCAGGAGGAACACCGGUGGCGAAGGCGGGUCUCUGGGCAGUAACUGACGCUGAGGAGCGAAAGCGUGGGGAGCGAACAGG
rnacentral:rRNA from 1 species